GUGGGGAAUAUUGGGCAAUGGGCGCAAGCCUGACCCAGCAACGCCGCGUGAGGGAAGAAGGUUUUCGGAUUGUAAACCUCUGUCACAAGGGACGAAGAAGUGACGGUACCUUGUGAGGAAGCCCCGGCUAACUACGUGCCAGCAGCCGCGGUAAUACGUAGGGGGCGAGCGUUGUCCGGAAUUACUGGGCGUAAAGGGUGCGUAGGCGGUUGCUUAAGUUGGAUGUGAAAUACCCGGGCUUAACUUGGGGGGUGCAUUCAAAACUGGGCAACUAGAGUUCAGGAGAGGGAAGCGGAAUUCCUAGUGUAGCGGUGAAAUGCGUAGAUAUUAGGAGGAACACCAGUGGCGAAGGCGGCUUUCUGGACUGACACUGACGCUGAGGCACGAAAGCGUGGGGAGCAAACAGGAUUAGAUACCCGGGUAGUCC
rnacentral:rRNA from 1 species